UAAACCUAGUCUCCCUCACAGACGUUCUUAUAGCUCUAACCCUCGCUAACCCUCGAGGGUUAGAGCUAUAAGAACGUCUGUGAGGGAGACUAAGCUA
rnacentral:miRNA from 1 species